rnacentral:rRNA from 1 species
AUUGAACGCUGGCGGCAUGCCUUACACAUGCAAGUCGAACGGCAGCGGGGGAGAAGCUUGCUUUUCCUGCCGGCGAGUGGCGAACGGGUGAGUAGUACAUCGGAACGUGCCCUGUAGUGGGGGAUAACUAGUCGAAAGAUUAGCUAAUACCGCAUACAACCUGAGGGUGAAAGUGGGGGACCGCAAGGCCUCAUGCUAUAGGAGCGGCCGAUGUCUGAUUAGCUAGUUGGUGGGGUAAAGUCCUACCAAGGCGCCGAUAAGUAGCUUGUCUGGGAGGACGAUGAGCCACACUGGGACUGAGACACUGCCCAGCAGCCUACGGGAGGCGGCAGUGGGGAAUUGUGGACAAUGGGCGAAAGCCUGAUCCAGCAAUGACGCGUGUGUGAAGAGGGCCUGCGGGUUGUAAAGCACUUUUGUCCGGAAAGAAAUGGCUCUGGUUAAUACCUGGGGUCGAUGGCGGUACCGGAAGAAUAAGGACCGGCUAACUACGUGCCAGCCGCCGCAGUAA